UGUCCCUCUUUGUUGCACUCUCCGAUGAGGCGAUGUCGUUAAACUUAUGUGAACGUCAAAACCCCUCUACUAUCUCCGUUUUGAUCAUUAUAAAACGACACCGUUUGAUUUACACUGCUAACGACGUCGUUUUCUGCUUACGUGCCAAGCCGCGUUCCUCAGAGUUGAAUCUUUCUGUCGAUCCAACGUUUCUCAGCGCGUCAAGGUGACGAAUUCUUCAUCUUGGGAUUCCAGAUUUCUCUCUUGAAUUCUAUCAAAUUCUUAUUCAUUAUAUCCCACAACUGUGAUCGAAAGACCAAAAAGAAAUCAUAGGAGAUGGGAUCACUGGCAACCAAUUUCACAGCAUCACUCUUCCUCGUUCCCCUGGGCAUUCGCCGUCUUCUCUGCUCCUCCUCUCUCUACCUCAAAAACCCUUCUCAAUACAGGUCGAAAUUAUGGUAUUUCUCAAAUCCCAGGUGGAAAAAUUUGGAUUUUUACGUCCUUAUCAUCGCCCUUCCCAUUGCUUCAUUUGCAGACGUUUUCCUUUUCUUGACAUUUUCCGGGCACCCUAUCUAUCGAUUCGCCUUCAUCCAGAGAUCACUGGUGAUUUUGCUCUUCUGGAUACUUGCCGUUUUGAUCGUUUUACGGGAAAAUUUUGAUCAUAUUCUCAUUCACGAGAGUUUGGUAUUUGUUUUCGCUGCAAUUUCGUUUGUCGCCGAGUAUUCGGUGAUUGGUAAGGGAAUUAAUGGCCUGGGCGAAGCUGUGUACGAGUGGUUAGGUGGAUUGACUCUCCUUUGUGCUGCUUCUUGCCUGUAUCUAUCAAUUAGGCCUACUGCUUUCUUCGCCGAGUUUUUGUUGUGUUCCGGGAUUGUGUUUAAGGGGACAUGGUUAUUGCAAGCGGGGCUGUCAUUGUACUCUGAUGUAUUCUCAUUGAAGGGGUGUCAUAAAUUUUUGACUGAUGUUGUAUGUGAUCUUGAAGAGGAUAGCUUGAGGGGUGUGGCUUUAAUGAAUCUUUUGUUUAUUGGGCAUGCAAUUGGAGUCUUGAUUACAUGUCUCGUGUUGUUCGGUACCUUGUCUUCUAACCAGAACUUGAGGCAUGACGAUGGGACGGGAUCAUUGUUGUCAGAGCCUGACUUGCUUCAUGAAUUUGACGUUGAGUGAGCUUUGGUAUGCUUCAUGAAUUUGAGGUUGAGUGAGCUUGUAUCAUGGUACCAAAGAAAAUGGUAUCAUGUGGGGAUUGUUUGUUUGUUACUUCUCUACAGGCUCUUCAAGUUUUAAAUGACUCUAGAUGGCACCUCUUUGUAUGGCCAUGUGCCAGCAGCUGAGAGCACAGUUAGUUGACUUCUAAUUUUGAAGAUCGGUCAUAUAAGGUAAUUCUGUAAUAGCACUAUUUCUUAAUGACAAUUCCUAAUUGGCAUUAAUAACAAGCUUUGAUGAUUCUACUGAUCAAAAAGCUUCACUGUGUUUAGCAUAGCACCCUUUGUGGUGAGCCUUACUUGUUCAACUUGGAGGCAAUCAUACGACCUAUAUUGAAUGACUGUACAGUUGGCACCAUAUCUGGUCUGUAAUGGUUAUGUUGGUCAUGGAUGGGGAGUGUAUUAGGUGUGUUGGAGAUCAAAGUCCAGGGAUAUGUUUAGAAGAGGACAUCUUGACAGAAUCCUUAGUAAGACAAUACCAUUGUGAUUUUAUGAUUUGAUACUUGACUGGAAUUCAAGUAAAUCAUCCUUCAAAGGUGCCCUCACUUGUCAAAGCAUUUGUGAAACAUGAAAGGCUUUCCAAAAUUCUGUUAGACACUAUGACUAGAUAGGAUGACUAACUUAAACACUUGGAAAUCAAGUCCAGAAGCAAGGCAUACAAAAUAUCAUAAGCUGAAAGCUCUACUGAAGAGAUGGGUAAAACCCCUCUACUUCGUCAGCAUGUGUAUCAUGACUAGCACCUACUGUGGGAGUUAAUAUGUGCCAAACAACUUGCAUUUGCUGUUUCAUUAUUUUCCUUGCUCUCAAAUUACAGAGUUGAGCAAAACGAGGCAAAUCAUUUAGGGGUUCAUAUAUGAACAUGCAAAAGAGUCAAUGUCAGCAAAGGAGCUUUGAGGCAAUUCUCUUUCAGACUUAUUGAUUCUUGUUUAUUUUAGUACUUAGUGAUCUUGUUGUGGCAAUGAUCAAUUCAAAACCAGAUAUAUAUGUUGUCUUCCAGAAAAUGAAUUGAUUGGGUCAGAUUAUUCUUAAUUUUCCAUUUCCUUUGUGUCUGUAAAUUGGAUUAAACUAGAAUAUUAUGUUUGUACUGUAAAUUGCCAAUCACUCAGUCAUACUUCAGUGUGGUGCCUCUUUGAAUUGUCUGUUGCCAUAAUCUUUCUGACUUAGAAUUUAUAACAGGUUUUCAUGGUAAAAUCCAAGAGAAACCCAUUUUUCUUACUUGCAAUGGUAGGACUUUCCAUUUCCUUUUAAAUGUUGGCUUGAAAUACUUGUUAAAUAGAUUUGAUUUCAUCAAAGGUAUUGUUUCUGGAAAUUCUUUUAUUCAUGUAUUGCUUACAAGUUAGAUGCUGAUAUGUACCAACUUUCUUCUGUGCUUUAUGAUUUUAUGAUUAACAAAUGGUGGUGUGAGAAUUGAAUGGGGAAUCGUUUUUAUAAAUGUGUAGUAGACUAACAGACACAUUGCGCAUUUUGGUUUUUAAAAUGUAAAGCACACCAGAGAUUAGGAAUGUUAAACUUUCUUGAAAAUUUCCUGAAAUUAUUAAUUUAUGCCCUUCAACAUAAAUAUUGUGACAAAAGAAGCAAUGGAGAUCCAGUGAUGGACUGAUUGAUAAGUUAUAACUUGCUUUACCAAAAUAAAAAAUAAAAAAUUUGUGAAGUUAUGACAAUAAUCAACAUGGUUAUAUAUUUGAUGAUUGAUAAUGAAAUAGAAAUUAAUCUAAUUUGGUAUAUUUUAUCAGGGAAAACUUUGGCAUGGUCAACCACUGUUGGCGAAAACGACUGAAUCCAUGGAUUUUAAUAGGAGAUCGGAUCUUCUUGGUGAAAUGACAUCUUCGAUUGAGAACUUUUGAUCUUGAUAAACUGACCAGCUUCCUUACACACCUACAUCCUGCAUCAGACCAUUUACCUUCAUGAAUAAAAUAAUAUAGUCAAUACUAACAGCUAAGAGAAACCUUAUGUGGUCAUUAUUUCUUCCAUAAUUCCCUAUUGCAAAACUUUUGCUUGAAAUAAUUAGGAAAUAAUCAGAUGAAUAGUGGGUUGAGCCAAGCUCUUCAUCAAGUUUUUAAACAUUGAAAACAAUAGAAACCAGCUGCUUCCUACAUUUCUUUCUUUAUUUUUUUUUCUUUCUUUAUUUAUAUUUGUUAUUAUCUUUUAAGAUUCAUCAACUGAAGCAUACCUUCAACCUUCUGAAUAUGCUCCUCUUCUUCCAUGCUUGCAUUCUGCAGAACCUGCUCAUUGCAAAACCGGAAAUCAGUGGUUCUUUCUUGUUCAGCUGCAACAGUUCAAUUGGAUUUGCUCAUUUUUUGCAACAUUGAAGUACUGGUUCAGUCUCAAUAUGCUUGUUAAUGUGAAGAAGAAUAAAAGAAAAAGAAAAGGUUUCUUAGUAUAACUACUGUUAAACCACUUGUUCUAAGGUUUUCAUUUCAUUACCUCAACUAAACUUUCCAAACGGUUUUUCAUCCUUCUUUGUAUGAAACCUCUGGUACACUAUUUGCACAAUCUUUUCAGUCCAAAGAUGCAAGAACACCUGUCCUUAAUAAUUCCAUAAACAACCAGAAUGAAGUUUUACCUUUACAUGAUAUUUCACAUAGGCAUAAAAGUUCAAGAGACUCCACACUGUCUUGUCUAGCUGCUUACCUUCAACAUGAUGUGAAAAAAUAUCUGCAAAUAGGUCACGCAAAGAUAAUUUAAGAAAAGCCUUCUCAGACCCAGGACAUGAGAAAAAACUGCUAUUUAUAUACAUUGAAAAGCGUUAGGUAGGUUAGGAAAAUCUCGUAAGGUUUAAUCUUGAACAAAAAUAGAUGUCACCUUUGAGUUUCAGAUGAAUGAUUUAUGUUUCAGUUAUUUGUGGUUGGGGCAUUUGAUUUUAAGUUUGUUAGUUAUGCAAUGGUGUGUGACCAUCUUUUAAUUAGAUGACCAUAAUGUAGUUAGAACUACACUAUACUGCAGAUGGCUUUGAUUUAAUAUUGUAUGUCUAGCAAAUACCAAAAGAGACAAAUCCUCCAUUAGUGCUCAAAUCUUCAAAAAGCUCUCCUCUCAACUCAGGAGGAGGAAUGGGUGACCAGGUGCAAGGAGGUGCUUUAGCCCAUGCUUCUGAACUUCCCACAUCCAUGAGUUCCUGUCAAAAAAAUUCCGUUAUUCCAAGGAAUUGGAGGCAGAAUUUGAUUUCAAUUCUAGAAAUCGUGAGAACACCAUUAGUUUUGUAAUAAUUGUCUGCCACAAACCUGAAAGAAGGCGGUUGCAAUAAUCACAUCUGAAUUUUCUCUGAAGCGCAUUGGAAAUACUGCAGUGAUCUUUUGUGGCUGUCAAAUAGACAAAUCCACUUCUGUUUAGACAAUUCUAGUAGCAUAAGAAAUUAUAACUCAUACAGUGUUACUUUAUAUAUUAUAACUGUGAAGGGCUUCAGUUGCCACUGUUAAAUAGGUUCAAAUAAACUCAACCAAAUAUGUUUUUAGUGUGGUGUAAAUUCCAAAUUAGUAAAUAAUAGAGGUUAUGACCUUGCAAGUCAUGAUACUAAGUUUCACAUUAUCAGCUUCAGUUUUAGUUGGAAUCCUGUAAUCUUGAGGAAUUUUGGUCAAAAUACUGGAAACCCAAGGUUAACAUCAGUUGAAAUUUCAAAUUGUUGAAAAUUUUAAAAUCCUUUGAUAUGAGGAAAGAAAAAAGUGUUGCAUUCUAAGACUGUCAAGAAGUGUAGGACAUGACAAGUCCUCAAAAUUGAGACAUGAGGACGCAACUACACCUAUGUGUCAAUGAAUAUGAUAGUUCUCUAUGUUUGAAUUUGUGCUUGUUUGCAGAAUUUAAUCAUUUUCAUAGCAGGUGUUGUAAGCUGAAAGAAAACGCCAUGGCCAUGAUACAGCUUUUCUUUUGCACAACAUUUGUGAGUAAACAUGGUCGUUUUUAGGUGUACAAACUGGUGUUGAACAUUGGUCGACAUGAAUAUAUAUUUUAUAUAUAUGUUGUUUUUGGUGUGAACACUGAACAAGUGUCUGACAUGCCAAUUGUUAAUGAUAGAAAUGACCUACAAAUUAUAACUUGAAUCUUUCAUACUUCGAAAUUUUGGCCAAUUUCUGUGAUGGGAUAAAUAGCUGGAUAACCAUUUUUACAUUUUUCGGGGAUUGCCAUUUUUUGUUAAGAAGAACAGGUGUCCUAAAGAGGCUUUUCUUUUGUCCUUUUUAGGUGUGUUUUUGUUGUAGGCAUACUUUAGUUUGCUAUUUCUCUUUUAUAUUGGCCAAGUCUUAAUUUUCCCAAAGAAGAGGUUUAUUUGAGACAUGGAAAUUACCUGCCUGAUGACAAAGAAAGGCUCUCGUGGAUGAUAGACAAGUUUGAUUGGUUUGUACAUCCCUUGUGAUGUGUCCUGUGAAUUGACAUUCUGCAACAUUUCUUUCAGCUGAGAGCUUAGGAUUACAGCUUGUACUGAGGAAAUCUGUGCUAUUACCUUUGCACCGUCUGGAACAUGACAUCCAUGGACACAAUUAGAAACUCACUAAAUGAUUUUCAAAUGAGUACUUUUUUUGCAUUCAAGAAUAAGAAUGUUAUCUUCUAGUAAGUAUUUUAUUUGUCUAUUAUUUUUCCACUACAACUCAAUAGUAUGAGAAGACACAUUAUUUUGGUGAAUCUAGAAGAUUCUAGAACUCACAAGGUGUAAUGGAGAACUUAUUAUGUUUAUAAGUCUCAAUGGGACUUUUCUUGUAUUUUUUUUGUUGAUUUAAUACUAAUGUUACAAGCUUAACCUACUUAUUUCUCUGUCUAACAACUGGUGUUUUAACUUAAGCUCCAUGACUUGUUUUUGGGAAAACUAGAAGUCUUAUGCUAUUUCCUUCAGAAUGUUUAGCGUCAAACAUUCUUGGAUGGAUGCUCCAACCCAAAUCCUGAGACUUCCGUGCUGGGAAGAAGCUGGAAUCCUCAAUUAAAAUGGAGAUUUUCUUGGAGCUAAAAUGCUGGUUCAACAAUCUCCAAAACAUCAGAACAAAUUCCCUUUAUCAUCUCUAUGGUGUAAUGUGAAAGGCCAUGUGAGGGCAGAACUCCUUGGGACAGUAGUGGGGUAGCUAUUGACAAGUAGGUGUCAUGUGGAUCAGAUGCAGAAGACUGUUAAACACAGAAAUGUCAGAAAUUCUGAAACUAUUUGUCAAUAUUUUGAUAUGGUUCCAAGAUGAUAAAAUAUUUUUACCCUAGGAUGCACCUUAUUCCCAAAACUGAGUGAGUAAUUCCUGAGUCUAGAUUAUCUCAUGGUUUUGAAUUUGUAACUUUUCCAUGAAAAAUGAUAGAUGAUACAUGAUGGAGCAGUUGAUUAAUCCAUUUAGUGAAGGGUCAAUCAAGAUCGGGGGGAAACAAUGGAAAACUUAUUUAAAGUGUAGUAUCUAAAGUAUGUGAGAAACUUGUCAAAGGUUUUACCUGGACAUGGUAUUCCACUGACCCAAAUUCAUACAAGUGGUGGUCAAUCUCCAUAGGCUUCUCAGUGCUGCCAUGAAAGAAGUAAUCUUGAUCAUUAGUGUAAUUUUAAUUUUGUUCUGCACUAAUCAAACUUCUUCCAUGCUCCAUUUGGCUGCUGAGAAGAUGCUCAGAAAUAAAUGAAACCCCAAAAACACUACAAUAGCAUUUUCAUUCCCACGAAGAUCCAAAAAUUCUUUUCUUUUCCUUCAUCUUCUCAGGAAACCAAACAGGGGAUUAGUUUUUUAAUAAUGAAAUUAUAUGUGGCAAAACAACUAAUUCAUACUGAAACAUUUGCAGCAGGAACAAUGGCAAAUAUCCAUGAGAUUGAUUCUACUAACGUUGAGUUAUUAAACUAGGAGGUUAAUGAGAGCUUGUCAAAUUAACUGAUGAUAUGUACUUUAAAGAAGAUUAAACUUUUGGCACUAAAAGUGACUUUUUGUUUUGCACCCUAUCCAACACUAUGAAAUGGCAGAUUCUCAUUUCUGGAUGACUGAAACUGAAGAUAAAACGUGCUAGAAGGUUGCCAUUUUCCCACCCAAGUUGGUGAUCUUUGACUUCAGAUUUUGAAGACAAGAAUUGACAGAUCCCCCUUACCCACUUGUUGGAAAAUGUUGUAACUACCAACCAAAGUGAAAGAAGAGAACAGCUUCAUCCCACAGGGCAAUCAUUGGAACUCUAUUCACUGGGUAUCUACCUGGAAAUCACAUUUUCUUGUCUGCCAAACAGCAUGAGUGCUCAAGAGGUCCCCACCAAAGAGACAAAGGAUUCUUACCGGUAUAACUUGAGCAGGAUCUCCUUCAGCGCUGGUGAAGCCCUUUCAAAGCACGCCAUUCUGGGUAAUCUCUUUUAUCUCUGCCUAGUUCUCUCCCUCUCUACACAUUGGGGGUGAAGGGUGAUGAACUAAGAAAUGCAGUGUUGAACAUCUUAGUUAAAUGUCUGGGUUGGUAAGAACUUUGAGUGAAUUGUAAGUCCCAUGUAGCAAUCAUGUUUAGGAAACCUUUGAAGCAAACACCUACUCCCCACCAUGCCAAAUCUAUAUCGCUUUCUUUGCAACCACUAUGAAAAAGCUCCAAGGCUCGCAUAUACUUUACAUGUAAACAAACCCAAACUUGAACUACCUGCCUUCAACAACCAUUUGUUUCCUUUUUCUCUGGUUCUAAAAAAUAUUUGGUCAUCUCUCCUCAUCCA